rnacentral:tRNA from 1 species
GGGUCUUGUAAGUUAUUGUAAUGCUUAGAAUUGGGUCUAUGGCAUGGAAGAGGUCAUCGGUUCGAUCCCGAUCAGGUCCACCA